rnacentral:rRNA from 1 species
CGGCAUGCCUUACACAUGCAAGUCGAACGGCAGCACGGGAGCUUGCUCCUGGUGGCGAGUGGCGAACGGGUGAGUAAUACAUCGGAACGUACCCUGAGUGGGGAUAACGUAGCGAAAGUUACGCUAAUACCGCAUAUUCUGUGAGCAGGAAAGAGGGGGAUCGCAAGACCUCUUGCUUUAGGAGCGGCCGAUGUCGGAUUAGCUAGUUGGUGAGGUAAAGGCUCACCAAGGCGACGAUCCGUAGCGGGUCUGAGAGGAUGAUCCGCCACACUGGGACUGAGACACGGCCCAGACUCCCACGGGAGGCAGCAGUGGGGAAUUUUGGACAAUGGGCGCAAGCCUGAUCCAGCCAUGCCGCGUGAGUGAAGAAGGCCUUCGGGUUGUAAAGCUCUUUCGGUGGGGAAGAAAUUGCUUCGGUUAAUACCUGGAGUAGAUGACGGUACCCGCAUAAGAAGCACCGGCUAACUACGUG